AGCCACAAGCAGAUAUGUGUGGUUAUACCUGCCCAAUGUUUUAAUGAAUGGCCGCGGUACCCUGACCGUGCUAAGGUAGCGUAAUAAUUUGACUUUUAAAUGGAGUCACGCAUGAAUGGAUACACCGGGUCUAGCUGUCUCAGAGAUGUUAUUUUGAAUUUACUUUCUAAGUGAAAAAGCUUAGGUUUAAUAAAGGGACGAGAAGACCCUUAAAAUUUUAAUCUAUAGUAGUUUUGUAGUUUUUACGAUUUUGUUGGGGCGACAAAGAAAUAUUUUGAACUUUCUUUAAAAUUUACAAGCCGGAAUUUUCAAGUAAGGGUAAAUUACUUAAGGGAUAACAGCAUAAUUCUAAAAUUGAGUUUGUGACCUCGAUGUUGGACUAGGAGGCUAGUAGGUUAGAUGCUUACUGUGCGGAUUCUGUUCGAAUUUUAACUCCUA
rnacentral:rRNA from 1 species